GGGCCGUUAGCUCAGUUGGCUAGAGCGCCUCCCUUACAAGGAGGAGGUCGUCCGUUCGAGCCGGAUACGGCCCA
rnacentral:tRNA from 1 species